rnacentral:rRNA from 1 species
GAUGAACGCUGGCGGCGUGCCUAAUACAUGCAAGUCGAGCGAACAGAUAAGGAGCUUGCUCCUUUGACGUUAGCGGCGGACGGGUGAGUAACACGUGGGUAACCUACCUAUAAGACUGGAAUAACUCCGGGAAACCGGGGCUAAUGCCGGAUAACAUGUUGAACCGCAUGGUUCUACAGUGAAAGGCGGCUUUGCUGUCACUUAUAGAUGGACCCGCGCCGUAUUAGCUAGUUGGUGAGGUAACGGCUCACCAAGGCAACGAUACGUAGCCGACCUGAGAGGGUGAUCGGCCACACUGGAACUGAGACACGGUCCAGACUUCUACGGGAGGCAGCAGUAGGGAAUCUUCCGCAAUGGGCGAAAGCCUGACGGAGCAACGCCGCGUGAGUGAUGAAGGUCUUCGGAUCGUAAAACUCUGUUAUUAGGGAAGAACAAAUGCGUAAGUAACUGUGCGCGUCUUGACGGUACCUAAUCAGAAAGCCACGGCUAACUACGUG